UGCCCCAGUAACGGCGAGUGAAGCGGCAACAGCUCAAAUUUGAAAUCUGGCCCCCAGGGCCCGAGUUGUAAUUUGCAGAGGAUGCUUUUGGUGAGGCACCUACCGAGUCCCCUGGAAUGGGGCGCCACAGAGGGUGAGAGCCCCGUAUGGUAGGACGCCGAACCUCUGUAAAGCUCCUUCGACGAGUCGAGUAGUUUGGGAAUGCUGCUCUAAAUGGGAGGUAAAUUUCUUCUAAAGCUAAAUACCGGCCAGAGACCGAUAGCGCACAAGUAGAGUGAUCGAAAGAUGAAAAGCACUUUGAAAAGAGGGUUAAAAAGUACGUGAAAUUGUUGAAAGGGAAGCGCUUGUGACCAGACUUGCGCCUGGCGGAUCAUCCAGCGUUCUCGCUGGUGCACUCCGCCAGGCUCAGGCCAGCAUCGGUUCUCGCCGGGGGACAAAGGCUUCGGGAACGUGGCUCCUUUCGGGGAGUGUUAUAGCCCGUUGCGUAAUACCCCGGCGGGGACCGACGACCGCGCUUCGGCAAGGAUGCUGGCGUAAUGGUCAUCAGCGACCCGUCUUGAAACACGGACCGAGGAGUCAAGCAUUAGUGCGAGUGUUUGGGUGUAAAACCCGCACGCGUAAUGAAAGUGAACGUAGGUGAGAGCUUCGGCGCAUCAUCGACCGAUCCUGAUGUUUUCGGAAGGAUUUGAGUAGGAGCAUUAACGCUUGGACCCGAAAGAUGGUGAACUAUACUUGAAUAGGGUGAAGCCA
rnacentral:rRNA from 1 species